GCGCAUUUGUGAACUUAUACCUUACUGUUGCCUCGGGCAUGCGGCCAGGGCCUCGGAGACGAGGAGCAGGCACGCCGGCGGCAAGUUAACUCUUGUUUUUACACUGAAACUCUGAGAAAACAAAACAAAAUGAAUCAAAACUUUCAACAACGGAUCUCUUGGUUCUGGCAUCGAUGAAGAACGCAGCGAAAUGCGAUAAGUAAUGUGAAUUGCAGAAUUCAGUGAAUCAUCGAAUCUUUGAACGCACAUUGCGCCCUCCGGUAUUCCGGGGGCAUGCCUGUUCGAGCGUCAUUUCAACCCUCAAGCCUGGCUUGGUGUUGGGGCACUGCCUUCUCGGAGGGCAGGCCCUGAAAUUCAGUGGCGAGCUCGCGGACCCCGAGCGCAGUAGUUAAACCCUCGCUCUGAAGGCCCUGGCGGUGCCCCGCCGUUAAACCCCCAACUCUUGAAAAU
rnacentral:sRNA from 1 species